rnacentral:rRNA from 1 species
GACGAACGCUGGCGGCGUGCUUGACACAUGCAAGUCGAACGGAAAGGCCCUGCUUUUGUGGGGUGCUCGAGUGGCGAACGGGUGAGUAGCACGUGAGUAACCUGCCCUUGACUUUGGGAUAACUUCAGGAAACUGGGGCUAAUACCGGAUAGGAGCUCCUGCUGCAUGGUGGGGGUUGGAAAGUUUCGGCGGUUGGGGAUGGACUCGCGGCUUAUCAGCUUGUUGGUGGGGUAGUGGCUUACCAAGGCUUUGACGGGUAGCCGGCCUGAGAGGGUGACCGGCCACAUUGGGACUGAGAUACGGCCCAGACUCCUACGGGAGGCAGCAGUGGGGAAUAUUGCACAAUGGGCGGAAGCCUGAUGCAGCAACGCCGCGUGCGGGAUGACGGCCUUCGGGUUGUAAACCGCUUUCGCCUGUGACGAAGCGUGAGUGACGGUAAUGGGUAAAGAAGCACCGGCUAACUACGUG